rnacentral:rRNA from 1 species
CCUACGGGUGGCAGCAGUGAGGAAUAUUGGUCAAUGGGCGGGAGCCUGAACCAGCCAAGUCGCGUGAGGGAAGACGGUCCUAUGGAUUGUAAACCUCUGUAGGCGGGGAGCAAUGCCGGGCACGCGUGCCCGGAGGGAGAGUACCCGCAGAAUAAGCAUCGGCUAACUCCGUGCCAGCAGCCGCGGUAAUACGGAGGAUGCGAGCGUUAUCCGGAUUUAUUGGGUUUAAGGGGUGCGUAGGCGGAUUUUUAAGUCAGCGGUAAAAUGUCCGGGCUCAACCCGGGCCGGCCGUUGAAACUGGGGAGCUUGAGUGGGCGAGAAGUAUGCGGAAUGCGUGGUGUAGCGGUGAAAUGCAUAGCUAUCACGCAGAACUCCGAUUGCGAAGGCAGCAUACCGGCGCCCGACUGACGCUGAGGCACGAAAGCGUGGGGAUCGAACAGGAUUAGAUACCCGGGUAGUC